rnacentral:rRNA from 1 species
GAUGAACGCUGGCGGCGUGCCUAAUACAUGCAAGUCGAGCGAACAGAUGAGGAGCUUGCUCCUCUGACGUUAGCGGCGGACGGGUGAGUAACACGUGGAUAACCUACCUAUAAGACUGGGAUAACUUCGGGAAACCGGAGCUAAUACCGGAUAAUAUAUUGAACCGCAUGGUUCAAUAGUGAAAGACGGUUUUGCUGUCACUUAUAGAUGGAUCCGCGCCGCAUUAGCUAGUUGGUAAGGUAACGGCUUACCAAGGCAACGAUGCGUAGCCGACCUGAGGGGGUGGUCGGCCACACUGGAAGUGAGACACGGUCCAGACUCCUACGGGAGGCAGCAGUCGGGAAUCUUACGCAAUGGGCGAGAGCCUGACGUAGCGAAGCGGCGUGAGGGAUGAAGGUCUUCGGAUCGUAAAACGCUGUUAUUAGGGAAGAACAAAUGUGUAAGUAACGGUGCACGUCUUGACGGUACCUAAUCAGAAAGACACGGCUAACUACGUG